CGGGGCAUAGCGUAGUUGGUUAACGCGCAGGGCUGGGGGUCCUGAGAUCCUGGGUUCGAGUCCCAGUGCCCCGACCA
rnacentral:tRNA from 1 species